GAGCUUCCAACUUUCAGCUGCUGUUUGAAUGCAUAGUACAUUAAUACCUCAGUCGAGAAAGUUCAAAUGGUGUGCAGUUUGAAUGGUUACUUGAGAAGUUCGAAUUUUUAGUACGAGUUAUGCCUCAGUCAAGAAAGAGAUGGAAGAAGCAAUUCAAAAUAUUCAAAAGGACGUUAAGACCUUAACAGCAGGUAUGUCUGAAUUUAUCUCAAUUGUCAUAUUUCACCUUGUGCUUGCACAGGCAUUUUGAAAGGUGCGGUCCAGAAUAUACCUCUGAAUAUAUCCGUCAUGCUUUUUCAUAAUUUAAAUGUGGAGGGCCAUUGAUUUGGUAAUGUGUCACAGUGUCAGAGAGUUGUAGUAAAAUAUCAUAUUUAACUAUUUAUUAUUUCUAGAACAUGCAAUUUGGGGGUUGGUGUAUUUUCUGUUGUUUGGAUUGGGUGAAAAUAUACCUCAUCUUAUGGUGUAUUGUUUUUCCCGAAGAUCAUAUUAGCCUAUUUCCUUCUAGUUCUUCGUUAUCACAGAGUAGUAAGACAGAUAAAAUUGUUCUUGCAAUUUUAUUAACCCGUGGCCGUUUUUUAGCACUCUAAACUCAGGGAUCUCUUCCCAAAUGUACCCGCAAUAGUGAUUUUUAAACCAAUUAUUUUUUAACCAUUAUUACAUGGAAAUUUUGUUGAACUACACAAUUUUUUGCAUGUCUGUGGGUUGACUCCAAUGUAUAUGUCAGAUUUCACUUUUAGGUUACUACUAUUGCAUCUGUUACUUUUGCAAAAAGGGGUGUGCUUUCCCGGUUUUGAUUGUUGUGGGGUGGUGGGCGAGGGGAAAUGGGUUUGGUUCUUAACUUUUGUUCUGUUGUCAGCAAUUCUGGACUCCAGUCCUCUAUCCUUACAUAGAUGCUUCCAUUAGCAAUAGACCCUCCCUAAUACAGGAAAACAAAUUACAGGUUUAGAUACAUGUGAUUAAUAUUUUGCAUUUGAAGUCGAGUUGGGGUUCUUGUUUAUAGUGUUUUGUUGGGACAAAAAAGAAAACAAAAUGACCGUAUAUUGAUGGAGUCCCUCUGUAGAAAACAAGUUCAGAUUUGGCAGUCAUUCUGUGGGAGGUCAAUUCUUUUGGAUUUCGUAUUCAAGAAAACUUCUUGAGAACUUUUGUAUCAUUAUUCUGUAAAAGACUAAAGAUCAUAUUUAGUAAUAAAAGUAAGGUGCGUGACCUAAACAUGUUGAUAUUCAUCUAAAUAUUGUCCUUUUUUCACUAAGUGCACGCAAAAAAACCUAGAAAACUCACAACUAGAAAUAUAGAGACAUUCACGAAUCACGCAAAUUCUAUAAAAUAAGGAGGGAUAAACUAUUCUUUCUUCUAAUGCAUAAAGAUUAAGUGUUAGUUCAAAUUGUUGGACUCUUUCUCCAGGAAAAAGGUAUGGAGUGUGUGGAAUUUCUAGAAAGUAGAUUUUAACUUUCUAUGAUAAUUAUUAGACUUUGUUAUAUCGCGGUUUUAUUUAGAAUCAUGUAUUCAUUUCGUGGUGUUACAUAUAGAGAGUCAAAGAAAAGUCUUUGAUACAAAUCCAUAAAACCCAAAUUUUGUGGUCCAAAACUUAACUACAGUAACAACAAAUUUGUGUUUUAAAACCAAACUAUACCAACAACAUUUUUAAAAGAUGGUGUGCUAGCUAUAGGUGACGAUUUCAGUGAUGCUAGCUUAGUGAGCGCAGUUUCUCAACCUAGGUUGAACGAAGAGGUUAGGCCAUGUUCCCUUGAGCAAGGAAAUGAAACUCCUUACACAGUUCUUCAAGGGACUAGCGCAAGUAAUGAAAAUGAAGUGAUGGCUCAUGUCUAAAUUGCUAAUCUAUUAUACUCUAUUAAAGCAGAAAAUACCCCUAAGAAAAUAUCUCUUCAAUCAGGCUAUCAAUUAGAUUGAAAUUGAUAGCCUAAUUGAAGAGAAUUUUGAUUAAGUUUGGGUAUAUUUGUAAGUACGCAAAAUUGGACCACCCAUCACAGAUAUAAUCAAACCCAGUUGGACUAAAUCACGGGCAUAAUUAAGCCCAGUCCAAAACAACUUAAAGUGAACCAAUCCCAAAUAUAACCAAGUCCAGCCUGUGCAAUGCACUAGUGAUGAACUUAAAGGUGAGUGUUGUAGGGGAGCCGAGGAUAUUAAGAAGAUCCUAGAACUCCCUCAUGGUGAGGUUGAUCCCACUACUAUCAUGAUUAAGCAAGUGUUGGACUAAUAAAAAAAUAGAUAAGUCAGGCACGUGGAUGAUUAUAUCAAGAUGGUCUGGGACGAUGGUAGACUCAUGAUAAGGAGCAUUCUAGAUCAUUUGGAGGUCUUGACAUUGUGCAAACUCACUUACGUAGUGUGCAUUCCGAGAUCAUAAUGAAGUUGUCCAAGGAAGGAGGCCGUGGGGUGCAAACUAGAAACUCCAGGAAGCAAUACAAUUAAAUUUUGAGCUAGUAUACAUGCUUAGAUUAUCGACUCACAUUCCACUUUCGAGGUUGUGUGCUUUUAUAGUUGGAAUCUAACCUUGUUGAAUACAGUUUGUAAUUUUAUAGGAGAUGUUAGUUGUAAAGCCUCUUCUGAGAAAAUAAUUCUGUUGGGCUCUGCCAUAAUUUUAUAGGGGAUGUUAGUUGCCUUUUCAGGAAUAAAGAAAUGUAGUUGCCUCUUUGCAUCAGUGGAAGAUCCUAGUGUCCAACAAACCAUUGUAAAGAAGCAAAAGGGACAAAAUCUGGGAAACUCAAUUCCUAGGCCCACCAUAGGCUCGUACAGAGACAAGACCCAGUGACAGAUUCAUUUCCAGAGUAAGAUCGAGUGGAAUCUGUCCCGGAAGUGGGGUUCCCAGACUCCCUACGCUACGGUAACACCGCCAUAUGAUACGGAUACUCUUCUACUUUGGAUCUUCCUUUGAAUCUUGAUAACCUUACCCCGGAACAAUGCCAUUAAGCUUCCCUGGUCCCGACAUGCCCUCCAAUUAUAUCUUCCUGGGCGAGGAAGAACAGCGGAGGCAACCUCCACUCGUCAACUACCUUUACUUUAGAGAUGGGAGCAUUUGGGUAGAGUUGUAAUAUUUUUGUUGCAUUAAAAAAAUACGAAGUUAGAAAGGAGCACAACUGCUCGUUUUCCUUCUUGAUUAAGGUACUCUGCAUGUAGUCUUCCAAUCAUUGUUUGUUACUCCAUAGAAGCUAGUUCUUUAGUUUUUCACUUCUUCCAUAAUUAUCCUCUAUUUUCGAUCAUUCACUUUUCAAUUUUUCCUUCUCUCAGCAAGAGGGGGAAAAAAGAUGAACAUGAGAAGGGUGAAAAUAUUAUUCCAAUUGAAUAAUCCUUAUACAACAAAAUAAUUGGCUUUGUUGCUUUUAACAGGUGAAAUAUGUUGCAGAUGACUCACAACGGUCUGGGCAGUGGGACCUGGAUCUGAUGUACUAGCUGAGUGUGUAGGACAAGAAGGUGAAAUGGUUCUUCCAUUUCAGGGAAUUAAUUUAGUGCAGGUAUUAUGUUUGUUAUAUUCUUUUUAUGUAUAAAAUGUUGCAUGCUAUUCGUCAGAUUUAUGCACAUAUUCAAUUAUUGAUCUCGUUGUUAGAUUAGCAAGAAGUCCCUCCUGGAAUUGUAGAUAAUCAAGUGAGAUUUUUAUGAUGUUAAAACAUAAAUAGUGGAAUUUCAGGCUUGUACCAAGAUAUUCGGAAUUUGUGAGAAAUUUCUGAAAUCGGCAUUGUUUGCCAUUUGAAUGAGAUUAGGAUGAAUGGAUGAUGCAACAUUUUUUCUCAAUCCAGUGAUAAGAGAUCUCGAGAUAGCUAUUAAAGAUGAAACAAAUGAUUUUACAUUUAAAAGCACACUAAGAUUCAUACAUAUUGUCAUGAACAACUUUGUAAUGUGUUCUAUAGGCUAUGUGAUAGACUAAGAGCUUGUGGACUAGCUGAUUGAUGCUUGGUAAAAGCAAGAACAAGUGGCAAUGUCGUCAUUAAUGACUUUUAUCUACAUGCAAAUUAUAGCUUUAGGGACAAUGUGAAAGUUAUGACUAUCUGUUUGGCCGAAACAAAUGAAUGGGACUCUUGUCUCUUACUCGCAUCAUGUCCAGUGGUUAAUAGGAAUGUCACUAUUUUAUGGAAUCUGGAUUAACUAAUUUAUGAGCUUUUAGUCUAUCAUAGUUUGUGAAAUGUAUCUCUAUUGAAAUCGAGUUGUCCACGCUAAUUUGUACUCCUCUCAAUGACAUUUAUGCAAGACCAUUUUUCUUUUCCAUCUUAUCUCCCUUAGUUGCUAUGUGCAGCUACUCGUCAACAUAAUGGUUAAUUAAUCCCUAUUUUGAACAUGCCGGCAUCCUAGCAUACCAAACAAAUAUUCAAACAAACAAUCAAACUUUUUAACUCACAAUGAAAAAUCAUAAUUAAUAACUUCGACUAAUAAUCUCCUGACAAUAUUAAUUUAUGACGCAGAAUAUAUCAACUUUGAUAAGUAGGAAACAGUAACAUCCUAGUAUCCUACGCAAGAUCAUUUUUCUGUCUUCGUCUCUAAUUAAUUCUCUAUACAAGCUAUAUUUGGUUUCUGUUCUCAUGUAACUUUGUUGUUCUCGUCUUGUUCAUUAUUUGGUCAUGUCUAUCCAUCUAGAACUGUGAGCUAAUUCAACAGCUCCAUAUCUUCUUGGGUGUCUUUGGUUUUGCAUAUUUAGUCUUCAGAUUUAGUAGUGAGUUAAACAAUAACCCCAUAUGUCCCCAGGAACAUGUGAUGAUCAUUUGUUGGGUGAAACUUUUGACCUCCAUAGAUUGGUCUUCUGUUUAGAAUUCCUGACCUGCCCUUGCCUAGACUACUAAAAGAAUAGACUAGAGAGUAGAAACUACUAUCAUAAUGUUGGUAUGCUUUUGAUCGUCAUUAUCUGUUUGCUCUAGUAGUUAACCUAGGUGAGAUUGACCAGAUGGUUUACACUUUAUCAUUGCUAGAUGGCUGUCAGUUGGCUCCAGUCUAUUCAUUUAAAGAGUGUAUUCUCUCCGGUUAAAUUCAGAGUGGUGGGUUGCCCAACAUUUACUAAUACUAUGUGGUGCAAUACUGCAUGGAAGAAGUUAUCUAAACUGAGUUGAUGAUAUCAGGGCCUCUAACUUUAACUUUAAGUACCGAACCUGAAGGUCUAUAGUUACAAACUACUUUCAAGUUUCAAUUAAGGGCAACACAAUCCCCGAUUCAGAAUAAUUGGUAUUUAUUGUAAUAGUAGUGACUUGUCUAACACACUACUAGUAGUAGUGACUUGUCUAACACACUUCUUUCAUUAUAUAUACAAGUUAUGUCUCAUAUUGAGAUAUAUAACUUUCCACCCUAAUAUUCUACUUCUACUUGGUAUCAGUUGCUUGUAGAAACAACACCCAACCGUCAACAAAACCUAAACCCAAGCCGCCACCACCACCACCGCUACCAUCACCAUUACCACCUUGCCUUCGGGCUUCUUUCUUCUAUGAGCAGCUGGUAAUCCCUGCUCUUCCUUCACCGUGUCUGCAGCAGGACAUCCCUGCAGACGGCUUCCUUUGUUGGUAGUCAUCCUUGUUGCUAAGGGUAUCAACUGGUGUUCGUCUCCCACCGUGACUACCUCCACUGUUUCUGUGAGUUCAUCCUCUUUUACUGUUGUUUUGUGGACUGAUUUGCUGCGUUACAUCAUUCAUUCUGUGGGUAUUUUCUGGUGGUCUAUUUUGUGAUAUGACUAAAAGUCCGUCUUCUGCUGAGUUGCCAUCCACUAAGGCUAUGGAAACUGACUCUGGUUUACCCAACAUUCAGUCUACCCAGAAGAUUACAACCAUUCUUCUAAAUGGGCGUAAUUUUUCAUCGUGGUCACGUUCUGUUCGUUUGUUCUUGGGUGCUAGAAAUAAGAUUGAUUGGUUGGUUCCAGGGAAGAUACCUUGUCCAUCUGAGGCUGAUUCAACUUAUUCUACUUGGUUUAUGACCAAUUGCAUGAUUCUUGGUUGGUUUUUUAACUCUAUGGAACCUGACAUAUACGAGUUAUUCACAUUCUAUGAUUCUGUUGAGAGUUUGUGGGCUGCUUUAUCUGAGAUGUAUGCUACCACGAACAAUGAGGUUCGGGUAUAUGAGUUGUACCGUGAAUUAGGCCAAGUUUCUCAGGGUUCAAUGUCUGUUACUACCUACUUUGGGUAUUUGAAGAAACGUUGGGAAGAGCUUGCUAUCUAUACCGCUUUGUCUAGCAUUUUAGGUAUGACUUCCAACUAUCGCUGCUGCUAUCCACAAACGGGAAGAAAAACAAAGAGUUCAUCAGUUUCUCAUUGGUCUUCAUCCUGACUUUGAAGCCAUUCGUACUCAAGUCCUUAACACUACACCUCUUCCAACUCUUGGGGAGGCCUAUGCAGUGAUUGAGAAACAUGAGCGUCGUACACGGAUCACAGUUCCUUUGGUAGUUUCUGACACACCAUCUUCAGCUGAUCAGAUGGCCUUUGUAGCCAAAUAUCAUCCUCCAACACCUCAGUAUUCUCAGGGCCUGCCAGGAGCCCCUAGUGCUAAUGCACAAUCUGGUUGCACUACUGGUCGUAAUCGACCAUACUGUGAUCACUGCCGGGCUGAUGGCCAUUUUCGACAAACGUGCUAUCAACUACAUCCAGAACUUAGGCCAAAGAAGGGGUCUGGAAAAUCAGGUGGUGGUAAACCUCGUACUGCUGCCAUUUCUGAGGUUCCUAGCAGUUCUGCUUCAGGGGGAGUUCCUACUGAUUCAGGUUCUUUGAGUCAGCGAUUAGAUGAGGUUCUUUUUUUCCUCCGGGAGGGAAAACCAGGGUCUACUACCAUGCCUACAGCUACAGGUAUACCUUCUGCUUUCCAUGUUAGUUCUGGUUCUACACCUCCUGCUUGGAUCCUUGAUUCAGGGGCCAAUGAGCAUAUGACUGGUGAGUAUAGUUUAUUGACUAAGCAUACCCCUUUUUCUCAUCAUGUUCGCAUUGCUGAUGGCUCGUAUAACUCUAUUACUCGUAAGGGCACUGUUCAUUUGUCUCCUCAAAUUACUUUAGAGUCUGUAUUGCAUGUUCCCCGUUUUGCUCUAAAUCUUUUAUCAGUUAGUCGCCUUGCUAAAGCUCUUCAUUGUGCUGUUGUAUUCUUACCUGAUUCUUGUUAUCUUCAGGACCUGAGUACGAAGCGGAUUUUUGGCAGGGGGUAUGAGCGCGAUGGGUUGUACUAUUUUGGUAAUCCCCCACCGGUUCC
rnacentral:lncRNA from 1 species